CCUACGGGAGGCAGCAGUCGAGAAUCAUUCACAAUGGGGGAAACCCUGAUGGUGCGACGCCGCGUGGGGGAAUGAAGGUCUUCGGAUUGUAAACCCCUGUCAUGUGGGAGCAAAUUAAAAAGAUAGUACCACAAGAGGAAGAGACGGCUAACUCUGUGCCAGCAGCCGCGGUAAUACAGAGGUCUCAAGCGUUGUUCGGAAUCACUGGGCGUAAAGCGUGCGUAGGCUGUUUCGUAAGUAGUGUGUGAAAGGCGCGGGCUCAACCCGCGGACGGCACAUGAUACUGCGAGACUAGAGUAAUGGAGGGGGAACCGGAAUGCUCGGUGUAGCAGUGAAAUGCGGAGAUAUCGAGAGGAACACUCGUGGCGAAGGCGGGUUCCUGGACAUUAACUGACGCUGAGGCACGAAGGCCAGGGGAGCGAAAGGGAUUAGAUACCCGUGUAGUC
rnacentral:rRNA from 1 species